UGCCGAGUCGCCAAGUGGUAAGGCACCUGACUCUGGAUCAGGUAUUCCGUGGGUUCGAGUCCUACCUCGGCAG
rnacentral:tRNA from 1 species